rnacentral:rRNA from 1 species
CCUACGGGAUGCAGCAGUAGGGAAUCUUUCACAAUGGGCGAAAGCCUGAUGGAGCAACGCCGCGUUCAGGAUUAAGGCCUUCGGGUUGUAAACUGCUUUUAUAAGCGAGAAAUAUGAUGGUAACUUAUGAAUAAGUAUCUGCUAACUACGUGCCAGCAGCCGCGGUCAUACGUAGGAUCCGAGCAUUAUCCGGAGUGACUGGGUGUAAAGAGUUGCGUAGGUGGCAUAAUAAGUAGCUAGUGAAAUCUGGUGGCUCAACCAUUCAGACUAUUAGCUAAACUGUUAAGCUCGAGACCGUUAGGGGUAACUGGAAGUUCUAGUGUAGGAGGGAAAUCCGUAGAUAUUAGAAGGAACACCAAUAGCGUAGGCAGGUUGCUGGGACGGUUCUGACACUAAGGCACGAAAGCGUAGGGAGCAAACGGGAUUAGAGACCCCAGUAGUC